UACAGAGGGUGCAAGCGUUGUUCGGAAUUAUUGGGCGUAAAGGGCGCGUAGGCGGUGCGGUAAGUCUGCAGUGAAAUCUCUGGGCUCAACUCAGAGUCUGCUGUAGAAACUGCCGUGCUUGAGUGUGGGAGAGGUGAGUGGAAUUCCCGGUGUAGCGGUGAAAUGCGUAGAUAUCGGGAAGAACACCCGUGGCGAAAGCGGCUCUCUGGAACGGUACUGACGCUGAGACGCGAAAGCGUGGGGAGCGAACAGG
rnacentral:rRNA from 1 species